UGGGGAAUAUUGCACAAUGGGCGCAAGCCUGAUGCAGCCAUGCCGCGUGUAUGAAGAAGGCCUUCGGGUUGUAAAGUACUUUCAGUCGGGAGGAAGGUGGUAAGGUUAAUAACCUUGGCAAUUGACGUUACCGACAGAAGAAGCACCGGCUAACUCCGUGCCAGCAGCCGCGGUAAUACGGAGGGUGCAAGCGUUAAUCGGAAUUACUGGGCGUAAAGCGCACGCAGGCGGUUGAUUGAGUCAGAUGUGAAAUCCCCGGGCUUAACCCGGGAAUUGCAUCUGAUACUGGUCAGCUAGGGUCUUGUAGAGGGGGGUAGAAUUCCAUGUGUAGCGGUGAAAUGCGUAGAGAUGUGGAGGAAUACCGGUGGCGAAGGCGGCCCCCUGGACAAAGACUGACGAUCAGGUGCGAAAGCGUGGGGAGCAAACAGG
rnacentral:rRNA from 1 species